UCAGUGAAUAGCAAGAGCUUUGACUCAUCUGAAUUAAAGAGACAUGGAUCCUGCUUAUUCAGCAUUUGAGUCAUGGACAUUUUGUCGAGGGCCAGGCACUUGUAGGCACUGAGAAUUCUGAGGAAUUCACAAUUGAUCACAAUUAGGAGAACAAGAUAAGUACUAAGAGGAGAGGUGAACACAGGGCAUUGUACGAGUGUACCCAGGGGACAUUUACUCAGACUGUAGCAGAUUGCAGAAGGUUUGAGAAGGAGGAGAACAAGGAGCUGCAUCAUGAGUGAGUAGAAAUUAACUGGUGAAAAAGACAGAAUAGGGCAGGUCCAGUGGCAAGGAAGUAUGAGAGCAGCAGGGUGUGCCUGGAACUUCAAUUAGACUU
rnacentral:lncRNA from 10 species